rnacentral:lncRNA from 1 species
GAGAACAUGAGCUUGUUGUCGGCGAUCGAUUUCCUGGAUUUAACGAUGGCGGGGCCGGUGGAUGGAGCAUCAUCGGCGGCGCCGUCUUCGUCAUCGGAACCGGUGGUUUUGCGCUUGCGAAUGUUCUUGUUCUUGGUGGGCUUGCGGAAGAAGUUGCAGACCUCGCCAGGCUCCGCCAUUCCUGGUAGUGUCUUGGUCGCUAGAUUCAGAUGGAAGAGAAGACGAAGAAGGCGAGGGUGGUUUCGAGGGUUUUCGUGAACACACAGGAAGCACAAUUGGGGAGGGAUCCCUUUCCGGUUCCUUACCCGAUUUAAGAAAAGAGCAG